rnacentral:ncRNA from 1 species
GAAUUUGAUUUGGUUUUUAAGAAAAAACUUCUAAUUUUUUUAUACUAUUUUUAAAAAUUAUUUUAGUAGAAAAUUUAUUUUAUUUAAUAAUAAAAAAUUAUUAAGAAUUAGAAAAUAAUCUAGCUAAAUUUGUGCCAGCAGCAGCGGUUAAACAAAUAGAAAAAUUCUUUCUUUAAGAAAUUUAAUGAGUAAAAUAAAAAAUUAUUAAAAAUUAAGGUGAAAUUUAUUUUUAAAAUUGAUAUGAAUAUAAUUGUAAUUCUUGAAUUAAACUAGGAUUAGAUACCCUAUUAUUUAAGAGCUUAAUGUUGUUAGUAAAUAUAAAUUAUGAAAGCAAAAUAUUAUGGCGGUAUUUUAAGCUUUUCAGAGGAAUUUGCUCUUUAAUGGAUAAAACACCUAAAUCUUACUUAAAUUUGUUAAAUCAAUUUGUAUACCACUAUAAAAACAAUUAAUAACUUUAAUUGUUAGAAUUUAUUAAAUUAAAUUAAAUUAAGUCAAGGUGCAGUAAAAAUUUAAGGAUGAAGUGAAUUACAUUGCUUUUUAGAGGAAAAAAAUUAAAUUACUGUUUAGGAUUUGAAAGUAAAAUUAAAAUAGAAUGUUAAUUUGAAUUAAGCUCUAAAAUAUGUACAUAUCGCCCGUCACUCUUUUAUAAGAUAAGUCGUAACAAAGUUAAAGUACUGGAAAGUGCUUU